rnacentral:rRNA from 1 species
GACGAACGCUGGCGGCGUGCUUAACACAUGCAAGUCGAACGGUAAGACCCUUCGGGGUACACGAGUGGCGAACGGGUGAGGAACACGUGGGUGAUCUGCCCUGUACUUCGGGAUAAGCCUGGGAAACUGGGUCUAAUACCGGAUAGGACCACUGCCUGCAUGGGUGGUGGUGGAAAGCUUUUGCGGUGUGGGAUGGGCCCGCGGCCUAUCAGCUUGUUGGUGGGGUGAUGGCCUACCAAGGCGACGACGGGUAGCCGGCCUGAGAGGGUGACCGGCCACACUGGGACUGAGAUACGGCCCAGACUCCUACGGGAGGCAGCAGUGGGGAAUAUUGCACAAUGGGCGCAAGCCUGAUGCAGCGACGCCGCGUGAGGGAUGACGGCCUUCGGGUUGUAAACCUCUUUCAGCACCGACGAAGCGCAAGUGACGGUAGGUGCAGAAGAAGGACCGGCCAACUACGUGCCAGCAGCCGCGGUAA